rnacentral:rRNA from 2 species
AAUCCCAAAGAAACCGCAUGGUUCUUGGCUGAAAGAUGGCGUAAGCCUAUCGCUUUUGGAUGGGACCCGCGGCGUAUUUAGCUAGUUGGUGAGGUAACGGCUCCACCAAGGCAAUGAUACGUAGCCGAACUGAGAGGUUGAUCGGCCACAUUUGGGACUGAGACACGGCCCAAACUCCUACGGGAGGCAGCAGUAGGGAAUCUUCCACAAUGGACGCAAGUCUGAUGGAGCAACGCCGCGUGAGUGAAGAAGGCUUUCGGGUCGUAAAACUCUGUUGUUGGAGAAGAAUGGUCGGCAGAGUAACUGUUGUCGGCGUGACGGUAUCCAACCAGAAAGCCACGGCUAACUACGUGCCAGCAGCCGCGGUAAUACGUAGGUGGCAAGCGUUAUCCGGAUUUAUUGGGCGUAAAGCGAGCGCAGGCGGUUUUUUAAGUCUGAUGUGAAAGCCCUCGGCUUAACCGAGGAAGUGCAUCGGAAACUGGGAAACUUGAGUGCAGAAGAGGACAGUGGAACUCCAUGUGUAGCGGUGAAAUGCGUAGAUAUAUGGAAGAACACCAGUGGCGAAGGCGGCUGUCUGGUCUGUAACUGACGCUGAGGCUCG